GCACCCUGAUCUAGCCAUGCCGCGUGAGUGAUGAAGGCCUUAGGGUCGUAAAGCUCUUUCGCUGGGGAAGAUAAUGACGGUACCCAGUAAAGAAACCCCGGCUAACUCCGUGCCAGCAGCCGCGGUAAUACGGAGGGGGUUAGCGUUGUUCGGAAUUACUGGGCGUAAAGCGCGCGUAGGCGGACUGGAAAGUUGGGGGUGAAAUCCCGGGGCUCAACCUCGGAACUGCCUCCAAAACUAUCAGUCUAGAGUUCGAGAGAGGUGAGUGGAACUCCGAGUGUAGAGGUGAAAUUCGUAGAUAUUCGGAAGAACACCAGUGGCGAAGGCGGCUCACUGGCUCGAUACUGACGCUGAGGUGCGAAAGUGUGGGGAGCAAACAGGAUUAGAUACCCUGGUAGUCCACACCGUAAACGAUGAAUGCCAGUCGUCGGGUAGCAUGCUAUUCGGUGACACACCUAACGGAUUAAGCAUUCCGCCUGGGGAGUACGGUCGCAAGAUUAAAACUCAAA
rnacentral:rRNA from 1 species